GAUUGGUGCUCCUCGUCGUUCUCUUCUAUGCGGCUACUUGAUAUUUUGUUGAAGGCUACUUUUGGUGACAAACCCUUUUUGCUUGGUGUCUCAUGGAAAGGUGCAAAGAGGAUCUAUACUGUAAUGAAUCUAGAGAAAAAAAUAUUUCAUCAUUCUUGAGUUUCUAAUCAAUGAGAGAGUGAUAAAUGUUUAUGAUUACAACCUUCCAGUAUUCCACGAAGAUGAGUUCUUUCUAUUCACUAUGCAUGUGAUUGAAUUAUUUCCUAGAUUCUUGAAGCAGUCUGGGAUGUUCAGCCACUUGCCUGUAGAUCUGCUCAAUGAAGAAUGGAAGUAUGACCAGAAGAAGGAUGUUGCCAAAAAUGACAGUAGGGCAGCUUGCAGUUCAUACUCAUUGGCCUAUAUCGAGCACCUAAUUACUCGCACUCCUAUGACCUUGAUGAAUGAUAACACUAUUCGCCGGAUGCGAUGGAAAUAGAUGGUAGGUAUGAUUGAAAAGGAAUUGAUGUCGUAGGGUGGGUUGCUGAAAAUUGAUAUGGAUUGUGGAUUUCGGGUUUCCUCUUCUUUUUUAUGUUGGUUGGUUUACAAACAAUAAUUUUCUUUUAUGUCUUUUAUUUUUAUUUGAAUGGUUGAAUGAUGUUGAACUUUUAUGUCAUUAUAUUUUUACUUGAUUUCUAUGUAAUGUUGGUGUUGUAUAAUCUUAUUAUUGAA